GAAAUAUGAUGAUCAAAAAAAAGCUUCUAACUUUUUAUUUUAACGAUUUAAUUUCGUUUAUAUUUCU
rnacentral:tRNA from 1 species